UAGGGAAUCUUCCACAAUGGGCGAAAGCCUGAUGGAGCAACGCCGCGUGUGUGAUGAAGGGUUUCGGCUCGUAAAACACUGUUGUAAGAGAAGAAUGACGUUGAGAGUAACUGUUCAAUGUGUGACGGUAUCUUACCAGAAAGGAACGGCUAAAUACGUGCCUG
rnacentral:rRNA from 1 species